UCUACUCUGAUCCUCCUCCAUAGCAACUCUCUCUUCUUCUGAGCUUCCCCCUCUGCCUAUUCCUCUUCUGCUCUCGUCAGAAGACCUUCUCGGGUCUCUUGACGUUCCCUCCCUGCUUGACCUGUGGAUCCUUGCCCUUGGCAAUGCAGGAGGACGACCAGCUGUACCCUCACUUUCAGGUGGGACUCCAGUCAAUCUCGCAGAUCGAUGAGUUCCUCGCAUCUUAACUCUCUCUGGAAAACACAACACAUAACAGAGCACAUAAGCAACAC
rnacentral:lncRNA from 1 species